AUAUUGGCGAGAGACCGAUAGCGAACAAGUACCGUGAGGGAAAGAUGAAAAGCACUUUGGAAAGAGAGUUAAACAGUACGUGAAAUUGUUGAAAGGGAAACGCUUGGAGUCAGUCGCGUUUGUUAGAACUCAGCUUGGCUUCUGCUUAGUGUACUUUCUAAUGAACGGGCCAACAUCGAUUUCAGUCAGUGGAUAAGGGUAAGAGGAAUGUGGCACCUUCGGGUGUGUUAUAGCCUCUUAUCGUAUACAUUUACUGGGAUCGAGGUCUGCAGCACUUGUGCUUAGGAUGUUGGCAUAAUGGCUUUAAUCGACCCGUCUUGAAACA
rnacentral:rRNA from 1 species